rnacentral:rRNA from 1 species
AUUGAACGCUGGCGGCAGGCCUAACACAUGCAAGUCGAGCGAGCGGCGGACGGGUGAGUAAUGCCUGGGAAUUGCCCAGUCGAGGGGGAUAACAGUUGGAAACGACUGCUAAUACCGCAUACGAUUGGAUUGCCAAGGGGGGAUUAGCUAGUUGGUGAGGUAAUGGCUUACCAAGGCGACGAUCCAUAGCUGGUCUGAGAGGAUGAUCAGCCACACUGGAACUGAGACACGGUCCAGACUCCUACGGGAGGCAGCAGUGGGGAAUAUUGCACAAUGGGGGAAAGCCUGAUGCAGCCAUGCCGCGUGUGUGAAGAAGGCCUUCGGAUUGUAAAGCGCUGUCAGCAAAGAGGCGUUACUCGCAGAGAAAGCACCGGCUAACUACGUGCCAGCAGCCGCGGUAAUAC